UAAUUUUAAGUUGUUAAGUAGUAAUGAACCAAAUUGUGCUAUAGCCUCAACUUCUACUUCAUCUUCACUAAGCCUAAAGAAAAAGUUGCAACAAGAACACAUUUUUUCAGCUGGGAUUUUCUCAUUCAAGCCUAUAAAAAAACCAAAAUUUUGUGACAAAAAACAUAGUAUUCAUAACCUUAAGAAACAACAUAGUUAUGUGAAAAAUUUGGAACAAUCAAAAUUUUCAAGCAAAAAUAAAGUACCUAAUGAAGUUGAAGAUUUCUUCUUUUUUCCUCCAAACCCUUUUUUUCCACCACCUAUUAUCCCUAAUCCACUUCAACCUCCACCUUUGAUUCCUAACCCUUUGCAACCACCACCUUUGAUUCCAAAUCCAUUUCAACCACCAAGUCCACCCUUGAUUCCUAAUCCAUUUCAACCACCAAGUCCACCACUUAUUCCAAAUCCAUUUCAACCUCCUCCAUCAAAUCCACCACUUAUUCCUAAUCCAUUUCAACCUCCCCCAGCAAGUCCUCCACCACUCAUUCCAAAUCCAUUUCAGCCUCCACCAUCAAGUCCACCACCAUCAUUUCCUUUUCCACCAAUAGUAAUACCAGGUUUAACUCCAUCACCACCGCCGC
rnacentral:lncRNA from 1 species